rnacentral:rRNA from 1 species
CCCUUUGGGUGUGACUGCGUACCUUUUGUAUAAUGGGUCAGCGACUUAUAUUCUGUAGCAAGGUUAACCGAAUAGGGGAGCCGGAGGGAAACCGAGUCUUAACCGGGCGUUAAGUUGCAGGGUAUAGACCCGAAACCCGGUGAUCUAGCCAUGGGCAGGUUGAAGGUUGGGUAACACUAACUGGAGGACCGAACCGACUAAUGUUGAAAAAUUAGCGGAUGACCUGUGGCUGGGGGUGAAAGGCCAAUCAAACCGGGAGAUAGCUGGUUCUCCCCGAAAGCUAUUUAGGUAGCGCCUCGUGAAUUCAUCUCCGGGGGUAGAGCACUGUUUCGGCUAGGGGGCCAUCCCGGCUUACCAACCCGAUGCAAACUGCGAAUACCGGAGAAUGUUAUCACGGGAGACACACGGCGGGUGCUAACGUCCGUCGUGAAGAGGGAAACAACCCAGACCGCCAGCUAAGGUCCCAAAGUCAUGGUUAAGUGGGAAACGAUGUGGGAAGGCCCAGACAGCCAGGAUGUUGGCUUAGAAGCAGCCAUCAUUUAAAGAAAGCGUAAUAGCUCACUGGUCGAGUCGGCCUGCGCGGAAGAUGUAACGGGGCUAAACCAUGCACCGAAGCUGCGGCAGCGACACUGUGUGUUGUUGGGUAGGGGAGCGUUCUGUAAGCCUGUGAAGGUGUGUCGUGAGGCAUGCUGG